GCGAGGAUUCCGCGCGAAGACAUCGCUCCUCCUCCACCCGCGGCCGCGGAGACCGCGCACUUCUCUUCCUCGCUCACUCCUCCCCGCGUCCUCGCAGGAGCGACUCCCCACUGCCGCCGCUCCUCCGCGUCCUCGCCGGAGCAGCCGCGGCCGUCCUCCUCGCUCCCGCCGCUACGCCGUGGCCGUCCUCCUUCUUCCCCACCGCCGCGCCCCGCUGCCGGCGCUACGCCGCGUCCUCGCCGGAGCCGCCGCCGUAUCGUGCUUCUCCCACUCGGAUCAGCCGCCGGAGCCGACUUCGGCCCCUUCUCCACCGCCGGAACUGAACUCGACCUCGGCCCCUAUAGUACAAUUAGUGAACAAUCAGAUAAUUACAUUGAGGUGAUCUUACUCGCUGCCGUGCCUCCUCGCGACUCCCCGCCGCACGCCACCGCAUCGCGUGCCCCUCCGCUCCCAGACCGGCGCUCACCUCUCUCCUCCGUUCCACCAUCACAGGGGGCAGUGAGCCGCUCUGAUUCAAGGAACUCUCUUAUAUUAUUUGGAUUAUGGGAGCUUUCUGUUCAUCUUUGCAAGCUGAUUACUCUGACCACUAUCAAGGUAAGGGUGGAUGGUCUGAACAUGGAGUACUGCGGUGGUCUGGUCAGCAAUAAACAGGUGGAUCGGUUGGAACCUGAUUCAAGCUAGCCACGGUCCAUCUCCAAGU
rnacentral:lncRNA from 1 species